GGUGAAAUGAGGUGAAACACUUUCUCUCAUUUUCUCUAAAGAGGCCGGCCACUUAGAGGGGAAUUAGCUAGCAAUAUUUUCUUCUCUAAGUCAUCCAUUUCAUCUUCACACUUCAUCUUUGGUGUGGAGACUUAGAGACAUCAAGCUUUUGAUGUUUUUGGAGAACUAAUCCUCAAAUCCUCAAAGAAGCAAAGGAGCACUAAAAGGAGGAAAAUCACAAGGAAGAUCCAAGGAGCAAGGAGGUGACUUGAAGGCCCUCCACUUGGGUGAAUCCCUUGUGUAAAUAAGGAUGAGCUUCAAGGGUAAAGAAACUCUAAAUCUUUCCUUCUCUUUAAUGUUGUUAAAGAGUUUAUUGGUUCACCAUAUACUAGGCUUUGAAAGUCAUGGGUUUUAUGAAUUGUUUUGAAUGCAUGCCUACUUUAAAGUGUUAAUAGUUUGCAUAUGUAUUCAAAUGUUCUUACAUGUUCUUAGCUAGGACAAAUUUUUUCCUUCAAGUGGUAUCAGAGCCUAGGCCUAGUUUAUGGUGAAUCCUUUUGGGUUUUGUGAUUUUCAUGAUUUGUGAUUUAAAUGUUGUAAAUGUUACAAGCUUUGUUCUUGCUUUGAAUAUAAAUUUUGCUAGAAAAUUUAGCAUCUCAAAUGUUGUAGAUGUAUUUCAUUUAAGCAUGAAUAUUGGAACUAAAAUUUGGUGCCAUGAAUGUUUGGAAAUUCGGCCAAAUCCAAAGGGUGAUUUUUUGGGUUCAUGUUUGUCUUGUUAAAAUGGUUUUAAGGUGACUUUUGGAACCCCUAAGUACCCUAGGAUGUUAGCCCUCUUUUGAGUAGUGAAAAUUUGAGUUUUAAUGAGUGAAAACAUUCAUGGAGCUCUUAUGAGUUUUCAUGUGUGUUCUUCAAUGUUCUUGAGUUUCUAACCAAGAACAAAAAGGUUUGGAUUUUUGAUUCAAAGUGUUUGGUGUUUUAAAUAAAGUUUUGGUUUAUUUAUGAUGGGUGAUGGUUAUAGGUGAAGGAUGAUUAAUGCUAUUAAUGUUUCACAAAAACAUUUCUCUUACAACCCAUCCCAUUCACCUUUAACCUCACCCACCAAUUCCACUUGCAUAUUGCACAUGCAUGCACCACUUGCAUAAAAUCCCUUUCACACUCUUCCACACUCCAAAAACCGGCCACCCCCUAGUGGGGGUACUUUUGGGGCCUAUUAUACAAUUACAUAAAGUUUUGAUACUUUUGUGUAUUUGCACUUUGGCCCAAAAGUUUACGUUUUUACUUUAAGGCCCAAAAACUCUAAAGGACGAAUUGUUUUGAUCCUUUAAUGAUGUUUUUACAUUAUUAAAAUUUUGGGUUCUAGUUGAAAUUACAUGAAGUUGUGGACUUUUGUGUUUUUCAAAGUGACCCCAAAAGUUUGUGUUUUGCAUUGUGGCCCAAUUGUUGUGGUCAUAGUUUCCUUUUGGCCCAAAUAAAAUGAGAACAAAAUUGUUUUGUCUCUUUAAUGAGAAUUGGAUUUUCAUUUCAUUUAGUUCCAUUUAAAUCAAUUCUAUGGAUCCAAAAACCAAUUGUUUAAGUUGCUUUCUUAGUUAAUGUGAUUGAUUAAGAAAAGGGUGAUUAUGAACCAAAGGCCUCGAUAAUUGAGCUGUGUGAUUGGCCGCUUUACAUUAUGAAUGUUUGGGUUUGGUAGUGUAGAUUUGAAUGUAAUUUGAUUAAUUCAAUUUGUUGUAAAUGGACAUAAGUCCAUCAUUUAUGUUGUAAAAGGGCAUAAGCCCUUCUUAUUAUUUCAUGUAUUCCUAUUUGUUUAAUUGUAUGCAAAAUGGAAUAGUUGGGUCCAACGCCCAAUAGGGAAUAACGGUUUAAUUGGAUUAAACGCGUAACUAAAAUCAACAACUAUCUACCUUAAACCCAAGGUCCAACACAAGGCUCGUGUUGGAUCAAAUUAAACGGUUCAUAAUCAUCCUAAAACCUAAUAUGACUAUAUAGUCCAUAUGAGGAUGCAAUGCAUUCGUUAGUAGUUCCAUAUAGUCUCGCUUGUUUCUUCGAAAUAGUGGGAGUAUUAUAAACUACUAAUUCAUAUUAACUUGGACCAAUGGUUAUGAUAGGCCCAAGUUCUUUUAAUAAGAUUAAAAUGAUUUUGAUGUACUCCAAAACUACUCCCUCAACAAACGAAUAUUAAGUUGAUAAGCGAGAGAUAUUUUGAACAUCUCUUCGUAGGCCUUCCACCGUGGUGGGCUCCAAUCGUU
rnacentral:lncRNA from 1 species